rnacentral:hammerhead_ribozyme from 1 species
ACCCAGCUGACGAGUGUUAAAUAUGACGAAACUCGCGUCGUGGAU